GAUUCCCAAUUCUUCAGUUUGAUUCUUGACUCAUGUCACUCAUCAAUUACACGUGGGAAAAAACACACAAUCAUGAGAUCGUCGGAGUUCAUGGACAAGCAAAUCACCGAAUUGUCUCGAUCUCAGUCCCAAGAUUUCUCCUUAUUUUCAAACCCUCACCACCACAACGACGACGACGACGAGGAGCUCUCUCCGACCUUCCGUUUCCACCUUAUACGACCUGUCGUUUCGACUCAUCAGUCACACGCCGAUGAUUCCGAGUCGUUGAUCUCCGCGAUCGAUAGGAAGAUGAAGGAGCUGGGUGAGAAUCUAUUUGCUCGCCGUGGAAGGAAUCACCGCGCGCCUCACUCAGCUCGAGAAUCGAACGCACCGCAUCGAGAAUUCCGUCGACGAUUUGAAGGACUCAAUUGAGUCUCACCAUGGCAGCUCUGAUGGCAAGCUCAGAGAGCUCCAUAAUAUUCUUACACAGGUCCACGGGUUUCUCCAAAAAACAAACAAACACAAACACAAACAAGCAAUACGCUCUCUGCUCUCUGCUUUUCAUAGUCGUCCGUUUGUUUGCGUUGCGUCGCUCCGUUUCUAUCUGAUCCUCUCUUCGCAAAGCAAAUUGCAAAGUUGGUCAUGUCGAAUUCCAAAUUUUCAACAACGAAAUCAUCGCCCUCUUUGUUUUCGUCGUCUCCACCUUCUUCAUCUACAUUCUCACUACCAUCGAGUGAUGAAGAUUCUCUUCCAUACCAGAAAUUUGCUUGUAUUCUCGUACGAGGUUCUCGUAUGGCUUUGGAGUGGUAUGUCUUUAACAUCUCCGACGAUGUUGAGCACAAUCAGGCUCCUCCUCCUCCUGGUCCUAGUCCGUUUCUACAAGCAAUAUUUCAUCCUUUUAGUGUAAACUCUCACCAGCAGCAGCAUAUCAAACCUGCAGUUAUUGUACCUUCAGGAAGGAAGUGUUCCGUUUUAGGAUCCAACAAUACUUUAUACCAUAUACCUGGCCACCAUCUUUGUGCUUCUGGACGCGACGAUUUAGUGUCUCGCUUUGACCUUACCAAUACCAAAAAAUCUAGGCAAGAGUUUCUUCCUCCAAUGCCUAAUGGUGUGUCGUCAGCACAUGCCCUCUUUCUUGGCAAUAAGCUUUAUUGCCUAGGUGGUUAUGAAGAAAACAAACCUUGGGCCAUGGCUUACGACUUGAGUCUUGAUAGAUGGGACUCUCUAGUGGAUCCUCCUCGCCGUCCCGAAAAUACUUAUAAUAUUUUUUCAGUAGCUAUAGAGGUCCCAACCCCAACUAUCGUGGUGGGUUCAACUUUGCAGUCUUGUCCUCUCCAAAUCUAUGAUGUGCAUACCAAGUGUUGGAGACUACAUGAGUUUAUAAACAAGGAUGGCUUUUAUCUUUUCCCUCGGGGACAACCUGUAGCUGUUGAUAGCAAGUUUUAUUGGUAUGAAUUCAACUAUCAAUGCCUAGCUGCAUUUGAUGUGGUCACAAACGAGUGAUCAUUGGCCUACGUCCCUAUACAUGACAGUGAUCAAUGUCUAUUGGAUGGAGAGAUUGAUUCUCCUCCGCGCUUGGCUCAUCUAGCCGGUGAUGAUUUCUGCUUGUUUUGGGGAUCCCCCUGCCAGCAUUACAAUCCUGUUGCCCCUCUUGAAAGCGUCACAUCUCGCCUUCACUGCCUGAAGUUUCGUAUUUCCAAACUUCACCCAAAGCAAGGAUCAACUUUUCGCUUGGAUGCCUCUAUCCUGUCAUGCCAAUCCUACGUUGUGCCUGGGGUAAAGCUCUUUUUUGAUGGCUUCGUGGGUUAAGGAUGGUCAUUUGGAUUUGGGAUACAACUGCUUGGAAGUUUGACAACAUGAGUGGUAUUUUUGUGUUUACCUUUUUUUCAUUUUCCCCUUUUGAUUCUAUGGAACAAGAUAUUAGUGCUGUAAUCCUUUUUUUUUUUUUUGGUUAAUUAGUGAAGUAAUCCUUUUGUAACCUCCUUUUAUUCUUUUGAUAGAAUAUAGUUGCAUUGAGUAUUGUGGGUAUGCA